rnacentral:tRNA from 1 species
UAAGACCUAUCAGUGAUUAACUGGUAUCUUCUGAAUGCAACUCAGCUACUUUCAUUAAGCUAAAGCCUUU